rnacentral:rRNA from 1 species
GCCAGGGAACUACGAGCAAAGCUUAAAACCCAAAGGACUUGACGGUGCCCCACAUCCUUCUAGAGGAGCCUGUCCUGUAAUCGAUAACCCACGUUCAACCUCACCACUCUUAGCUUAUCAGCCUGUAUACUUCCGUCGUCAGCUUACCGCGUGAGCGAAUAGUAAACUCAAUGUCAGAACAUCAAUACGUCAGGUCAAAGUGCAGCACAUAGAGCGGCAAGAGAUGGGCUACACUCUCUACAUUAGAAGACACGAAAAACUACAUGAAAUUGUACUUAGAAGGGGGAUUUAGCAGUAAGAGAAUCUAGAAUAUUUUUCUUA